ACCCAGCUGAUGAGUCUCAAAUAGGACGAAAUAGACGUCCUAGAU
rnacentral:hammerhead_ribozyme from 1 species